AUCGCUUCUCGGCCUUUUGGCUAAGAUCAAGUGUAGUAUCUGUUCUUAUCAGUUUAAAAGAGGAUGAAAACAAAAAAGAUAAAGGAAAAUAUAUUUCUGGUUACUUUAGCCUUGGUUCAAGGAACAUAAAGGGUUAAGUAUUAGUUCUGAACUGGGUAAUUUUUCCCUCA
rnacentral:snRNA from 1 species